GACGAACGCUGGCGGCGUGCUUAACACAUGCAAGUCGAACGAGUGGCGAACGGGUGAGUAAUACGUGAGUAACCUGCCCUCUUUUUGGGAUAAGCCUUGGAAACGGGUACUAAUACCGGAUAAAGGGGGAUGGGCUCGCGGACUAUCGGCUUGUUGGUGGGGGGUGGGCCUAUCAAGGCGGGGACGGGUAGACGGCCUGAGAGCGUGACCGGCAAACUUGGGGCUGAGAUACGGCCCAGACUCCUACGUGAGGCAGCAGUGGGGGAGAUGGCACAAGGGGCGACAGCCUGAUGCAGCGACGCCGCGAGGGGGAGGAAGGCGUUCGGGUUGUAACCCUCUUUCGCUAUCGAGCGGGUAGGUGGAGAAGAAGCGCCGGCUAACUACGUGCCAGCAGCCGCGGUAAUAC
rnacentral:rRNA from 1 species